CGGCGGACGGGUGAGUAACACGUGGGUAACCUGCCUCAAAGUGGGGGAUAGCCUUCCGAAAGGAAGAUUAAUACCGCAUAACAUAAGAGAAUCGCAUGAUUUUCUUAUCAAAGAUUUAUUGCUUUGAGAUGGACCCGCGGCGCAUUAGCUAGUUGGUAAGGUAACGGCUUACCAAGGCAACGAUGCGUAGCCGACCUGAGAGGGUGAUCGGCCACAUUGGAACUGAGACACGGUCCAGACUCCUACGGGAGGCAGCAGUGGGGAAUAUUGCGCAAUGGGGGAAACCCUGACGCAGCAACGCCGCGUGGGUGAUGAAGGUCUUCGGAUUGUAAAGCCCUGUUUUCUGGGACGAUAAUGACGGUACCAGAGGAGGAAGCCACGGCUAACUACGUGCCAGCAGCCGCGGUAAUACGUAGGUGGCGAGCGUUGUCCGGAUUUACUGGGCGUAAAGGGUGCGUAGGCGGAUGUUUAAGUGGGAUGUGAAAUCCCCGGGCUUAACCUGGGGGCUGCAUUCCAAACUGGAUAUCUAGAGUGCAGGAGAGGAAAGCGGAAUUCCUAGUGUAGCGGUGAAAUGCGUAGAGAUUAGGAAGAACACCAGUGGCGAAGGCGGCUUUUCUGGACUGUAACUGACGCUGAGGCACGAAAGCGUGGGUAGC
rnacentral:rRNA from 1 species